ACUAAGCGUACACGGUGGAUGCCCUGGCAGUCAGAGGCGAUGAAGGACGUGCUAAUCUGCGAAAAGCGUCGGUAAGGUGAUAUGAACCGUUAUAACCGGCGAUGUCCGAAUGGGGAAACCCAGUGUGAUUCGUCACACUAUCGUUAACUGAAUACAUAGGUUAACGAGGCGAACCGGGGGAACUGAAACAUCUAAGUACCCCGAGGAAAAGAAAUCAACCGAGAUUCCCCCAGUAGCGGCGAGCGAACGGGGAGCAGCCCAGAGUCUGAAUCAGCUUGUGUGUUAGUGGAACGGUCUGGAAAGUCCGACGGUACAGGGUGAUAGUCCCGUACACCAAAAUGCACAGGUUGUGAACUCGAAGAGUAGGGCGGGACACGUGGUAUCCUGUCUGAAUAUGGGGGGACCAUCCUCCAAGGCUAAAUACUCCUGACUGACCGAUAGUGAACCAGUACCGUGAGGGAAAGGCGAAAAGAACCCCGGCGAGGGGAGUGAAAAAGAACCUGAAACCGUGUACGUACAAGCAGUGGGAGCACCUUCGGGUGUGACUGCGUACCUUUUGUAUAAUGGGUCAGCGACUUAUAUUCUGUAGCAAGGUUAACCGUAUAGGGGAGCCGCAGGGAAACCGAGUCUUAACUGGGCGUUAAGUUGCAGGGUAUAGACCCGAAACCCGGUGAUCUAGCCAUGGGCAGGUUGAAGGUUGGGUAACACUAACUGGAGGACCGAACCGACUAAUGUUGAAAAAUUAGCGGAUGACUUGUGGCUGGGGGUGAAAGGCCAAUCAAACCGGGAGAUAGCUGGUUCUCCCCGAAAGCUAUUUAGGUAGCGCCUCGUGAACUCAUCUUCGGGGGUAGAGCACUGUUUCGGCUAGGGGGUCAUCCCGACUUACCAACCCGAUGCAAACUACGAAUACCGAAGAAUGUUAUCACGGGAGACACACGGCGGGUGCUAACGUCCGUCGUGAAGAGGGAAACAACCCAGACCGCCAGCUAAGGUCCCAAAGUCAUGGUUAAGUGGGAAACGAUGUGGGAAGGCACAGACAGCCAGGAUGUUGGCUUAGAAGCAGCCAUCAUUUAAAGAAAGCGUAAUAGCUCACUGGUCGAGUCGGCCUGCGCGGAAGAUGUAACGGGGCUAAACCAUGCACCGAAGCUGCGGCAGCGACACUAUGUGUUGUUGGGUAGGGGAGCGUUCUGUAAGCCUGCGAAGGUGUGCUGUGAGGCAUGCUGGAGGUAUCAGAAGUGCGAAUGCUGACAUAAGUAACGAUAAAGCGGGUGAAAAGCCCGCUCGCCGGAAGACCAAGGGUUCCUGUCCAACGUUAAUCGGGGCAGGGUGAGUCGACCCCUAAGGCGAGGCCGAAAGGCGUAGUCGAUGGGAAACAGGUUAAUAUUCCUGUACUUGGUGUUACUGCGAAGGGGGGACGGAGAAGGCUAUGUUAGCCGGGCGACGGUUGUCCCGGUUUAAGCAUGUAGGCUGAUUGUCCAGGCAAAUCCGGAUAAUCAAGGCUGAGGUGUGAUGACGAGGCACUACGGUGCUGAAGUAACAAAUGCCCUGCUUCCAGGAAAAGCCUCUAAGCAUCAGGUAACAUCAAAUCGUACCCCAAACCGACACAGGUGGUCAGGUAGAGAAUACCAAGGCGCUUGAGAGAACUCGGGUGAAGGAACUAGGCAAAAUGGUGCCGUAACUUCGGGAGAAGGCACGCUGGUGUGUAGGUGAAGUCCCUGCGGAUGGAGCUGAGACCAGUCGAAGAUACCAGCUGGCUGCAACUGUUUAUUAAAAACACAGCACUGUGCAAACACGAAAGUGGACGUAUACGGUGUGACGCCUGCCCGGUGCCGGAAGGUUAAUUGAUGGGGUUAUCCGUAAGGAGAAGCUCUUGAUCGAAGCCCCGGUAAACGGCGGCCGUAACUAUAACGGUCCUAAGGUAGCGAAAUUCCUUGUCGGGUAAGUUCCGACCUGCACGAAUGGCGUAAUGAUGGCUAGGCUGUCUCCACCCGAGACUCAGUGAAAUUGAACUCGCUGUGAAGAUGCAGUGUACCCGCGGCAAGACGGAAAGACCCCGUGAACCUUUACUAUAGCUUGACACUGAACAUUGAGCCUUGAUGUGUAGGAUAGGUGGGAGGCUUUGAAGCGUGGACGCCAGUCUGCGUGGAGCCAACCUUGAAAUACCACCCUUUAAUGUUUGAUGUUCUAACGUUGGCCCCUUACCGGGGUUGCGGACAGUGUCUGGUGGGUAGUUUGACUGGGGCGGUCUCCUCCCAAAGCGUAACGGAGGAGCACGAAGGUUAGCUAAUCCUGGUCGGACAUCAGGAGGUUAGUGCAAUGGCAUAAGCUAGCUUGACUGCGAGCGUGACGGCGCGAGCAGGUGCGAAAGCAGGUCAUAGUGAUCCGGUGGUUCUGAAUGGAAGGGCCAUCGCUCAACGGAUAAAAGGUACUCCGGGGAUAACAGGCUGAUACCGCCCAAGAGUUCAUAUCGACGGCGGUGUUUGGCACCUCGAUGUCGGCUCAUCACAUCCUGGGGCUGAAGUAGGUCCCAAGGGUAUGGCUGUUCGCCAUUUAAAGUGGUACGCGAGCUGGGUUUAGAACGUCGUGAGACAGUUCGGUCCCUAUCUGCCGUGGGCGCUGGAGAAUUGAGGGGGGCUGCUCCUAGUACGAGAGGACCGGAGUGGACGCAUCACUGGUGUUCGGGUUGUCAUGCCAAUGGCACUGCCCGGUAGCUAAAUGCGGAAGAGAUAAGUGCUGAAAGCAUCUAAGCACGAAACUUGCCCCGAGAUGAGUUCUCCCUGAGACUUUAAGUCUCCUGAAGGAACGUUGAAGACGACGACGUUGAUAGGCCGGGUGUGUAAGCGCAGCGAUGCGUUGAGCUAACCGGUACUAAUGAACCGUGAGGCUUAACC
rnacentral:rRNA from 1 species